GCAGUCGAGCGAACAGAUAAGGAGCUUGCUCCUUUGACGUUAGCGGCGGACGGGUGAGUAACACGUGGGUAACCUACCUAUAAGACUGGAAUAACUCCGGGAAACCGGGGCUAAUGCCGGAUAACAUUUAGAACCGCAUGGUUCUAAAGUGAAAGAUGGUUUUGCUAUCACUUAUAGAUGGACCCGCGCCGUAUUAGCUAGUUGGUAAGGUAACGGCUUACCAAGGCAACGAUACGUAGCCGACCUGAGAGGGUGAUCGGCCACACUGGAACUGAGACACGGUCCAGACUCCUACGGGAGGCAGCAGUAGGGAAUCUUCCGCAAUGGGCGAAAGCCUGACGGAGCAACGCCGCGUGAGUGAUGAAGGUCUUCGGAUCGUAAAACUCUGUUAUUAGGGAAGAACAAAUGUGUAAGUAACUGUGCACGUCUUGACGGUACCUAAUCAGAAAGCCACGGCUAACUACGUGCCAGCAGCCGCGGUAAUACGUAGGUGGCAAGCGUUAUCCGGAAUUAUUGGGCGUAAAGCGCGCGUAGGCGGUUUCUUAAGUCUGAUGUGAAAGCCCACGGCUCAACCGUGGAGGGUCAUUGGAAACUGGGAAACUUGAGUGCAGAAGAGGAAAGUGGAAUUCCAUGUGUAGCGGUGAAAUGCGCAGAGAUAUGGAGGAACACCAGUGGCGAAGGCGACUUUCUGGUCUGUAACUGACGCUGAUGUGCGAAAGC
rnacentral:rRNA from 1 species